rnacentral:misc_RNA from 1 species
UUAAGACAAAUUGGUCAGAGGGAACUGAGGUAAUCUCUUAUCAAACCUAAAAUGGGAUUGGCAUAUGAAGUUCCCUCCAAUCUCUGGAACAAGAUUCCAUCCAUCCGGGCUUGAACUCCAUCUGAAAAUGAUAGGUCUUGUAGCAGUUCUUUCAAUGUUCUGUCUACUCCUGCUAUUGAACUCCCUAUGCCACUUAAGAUCUCUGGCAGUGUAGGCGAGGGUCUUGACAGUUCAACCAGGGUUACCUGGGCCGUUAAGCAUAGUUGUCAAGAUAGCUCAUACAGAAGAUAGGAAAAUGGAAUUGUACUUCUUCCAGAAUAAGAGAUGUGCAGAUCAUUUGAUUUUAAAUGGAAAAUAAUGAACAAAUAAAUGAGGCCAGUCUCAUAGAUAACCAAAUUCUAGCCAUAAUAUCAAAAAUUUUAAUGGUUACCUCAGGAGAAAGAUCACUAAUGCCGAGCACUUGCAGUUAAGAGAAGAUUUGAGUGAAAAGCAAAUGAGAAGAUCUAUACAGAAGGGCAAAAACAGGGAGUUUCUCUACUUGUUAAGGUGCACAAUAAUGCAUGAUUACAUUACAGGAGGGCUGGGAAGGGAGGCUUUGUCGGCAACUCAGCUGGUGUGGUCAGGGACUAAAAUUCAACACAAAGAGAGACAAGACAACAAACAUCUUGAUCCCUCUUGGAAACCAAAGAGCGAGUAGUGAUUUGAGAAAUAAAAAGCCUCCUUUUUCAUAAACCAUUAUCACCAUAUCAAAAGUACUACUAGAGUCUCAACAAUUAUAAAAAUUUCAGUAGGGAUAAAGCAUCAAUAGUCUGGACAAAAUAAGCAUGACUACGUUAUGUGCUAGACUUCUGAACUAAUCAAUUUGAAGUAAGCUUGGGUAAUUAACAAAUAUAGUAAUCAGCAUUCUUUUCUUAAACAGAAACCAAUCUUGUAAUCAACAUGAAAAAGAAGAUCAAAUUAUGAAGUCAAAACAAACCUGUUUGUCUUGGGGAAUGUUGGCUUUCUGCUUUGCGAUGGCAAUAGCUCGAGAUAGCCCACCAGUAGCAUCAACUAGACCUCGUGAAGCUGCAUCUUUACCAGUCCAGACUCGGCCUUGUGCAACCUCUUCCAUCUUAUCCACCUGGCAGUGCAACGAUGAGGAAUUUUGAAUUUAUUUUUCCUUUUUCUAAUUUCUCCUUGAAUGUUUGCCCCAAAAUAAAUAAACUUAAUUUUGAAAUGAAUGCUAAAAAAAUUACAGCCAUUGAUCUUGAAAAUGCUGCCUUGUCUCGAAAUUGCUUAUAUGCAUUUUGAGCUGACCUAGCAAAAAGUUCUGCUUCAUCUGGUCUGGAAAAUUAAGUCUGGUUAGUUUCCUUCAGGUAGCAUGGCAAAUGGAAACAUAAUUCAAAGAAGAAAUGCAAGAUUUGGGAACCAUCCAAUCAAAUAAGGAAGCCUUCAAUAGUCAAGACAACAAAGUCAGGCAUGGGAUCCACAGGCAUACAUCUCAUCCAACUUGAGUUUUAACCUCUUGUAAAUUAUAGAUCCACAAUUCUGUUUUAAAAGAACUUGUAUUAAGAAAUACAACAAGGUCUCUCACCUCAUAGGUCGUUGUUCAGCUGCAAGGAGCUCAGCAUAUUUACCUCUUGAUAUAAUUUCCUUGUUGAAGCCAAUCCUUUCAUAUAGUUUCCCAAGGUUAAACUUCCCUAUAAAUUAUCCACCAUUUCAAGGAAUUAAAUACUAACAAAAUAAUGCAGAAAGCUUUAUUUAGCAACUUAAAAUAGGUUAAUUUCUUAUCUUUUAUUUUUUAUUCCUUUUUCCUUCUCUUUUUCUAAUUUGUUCUACAAAUAAAGUAAUUUCUUCAUUGUUGGCUACCCUGAACACAAGUUCAAAAUCAAGGUUUUGCAGAAGCAUUUUAAUUAAUAAACCAGCCUGGCUCAAUAAACAAUUUAAGAAUCCACACACCUAACCUGCAAUUUUUCCUCUUUCUUGCAUGCCUAAACUGUUCCAUGUCAUAGUAUGUCAUUGUCUUCUUUUUUUAGGAAAUAAAAGAAAAGAUUUUCUUCAAGAGAAGGCAGCAUCUUCAUACUUACAGAGAUGUUUUCAUUUUCAUACUUGCACAGAUUUUUCAACAUUUACUUUUACCUGUAACAACUCCAAUAGAGCCAGUUAAGGUUAAAUUUUCCGCAACAAUAGCCCCUGCUGCCAUUGCCAUAUAGUAUCCUCCACUCGCAGCCACAUCAGACAUAGACGCAAUCACUGGUUUUUUUUCAGCCAAAAGCCGGAUUUCCCUCCACAUUAAAUCAGAAGCAAGGGCAUCACCUCCAGGGCUGUCAAUCCGAAUAAUAACAGCUUUAUAUCUUUUCGUCUCUCUUACUUGUUGAAUCUUCUCAAUGAAUUGCUCCCCAAUGAUACCAGAGCUUGGUAAACUUAAUGGACUCCGUACACGACUAAUGCUCCCAGAGGCCCUGAUCACAGCAAUUUGGUCCUUACCACCAGUUAAACCAAGUGUCCAAUUCCUCACUCGCGAGUAUUUCCCGUAGUCAACCAUAGGAAGAAUUUUAUCCUUUUCGACUCCGAGUUUCUCUUUCAACAUUGAGAUAACCUCAUCAUCAUAGCAUAUAUUUGUUAUCAAGCCUUCUUCUUUCAGCCUUUCUACUUUGUAGACUCCUUCACUGAUGAAGUUCUCGAGUUGUUCUAUUUUUUUUCCUUUUGCAGAAGAAAUGUUUUCCAGCCAAUUCCCAUAGAUGUUAUCAAGCAAUGUUGUCAGCAUCUCACAAUUUUCUUCAGACAUAGAUUUCCGUGUAAGCUGAUCCCCAGCACUUUUGUAUUUACCAAUCCUUUGCACUUCUGGUUGAAUUCCUACAUUCUCAAGAACUCCUCCAAGAAAUGAUGCUUGAACUGUCAAUCCAUAUAAAGAAAAAUAAGCACUUGGAGGGACAUAUAUCUCAUCGCAGGCACAAGCAAGAUAAUACUCUUUCUCUCUACAAACAGGGAUAUAGCAAACAACGAAUUUACCUGCAGAUAUCAUAAAACAUUAAAAGCUAAUCGCCAUCACCCAUCCUUGCAAGAAAAUGUCUACGAGAAUUUGGCAGUUCAUAAUGAAAUACUUAAACUAAAACAACAAAGUAGCUAUUAGUAUAAAAUGGCAUCAAGUACAAUUAAAAUAUAAAAAAAAUGAUAACAUGAAGGAUACAAAAUGUCUUAGAUGUCCUAAGAAGCCUUUCAUAUUAGCAUCCCACACCAGUGGGCUCUGGAGCCUUACCCUGCCUUGCAGAGAAAGAGAGGCGGUUUCUGUGGCUCGAACCCCCAAUUGUGGAAUGCUUUGUGCACUAGGUCACCUUUUAUAACAAAUGGGUAAAAGUCCAAGCCUACCUGAUUGCUUGAAAUUCAAUAUGUGUCUCUGAAUCUCUUCAACUUUACCCCACCCACAAUUCAAGGGCUCUAUGUGGAGAUAAAUGCCAGAAAUACGAGGAUCAUAUGCAGCUUUUAUGAAAUUUUCACAAAUCUGAGGUAAGGAUAGCCCUGAGGAGAAACGGCUCUUUAGCUGAUCAGAUAUCUGGCCGCGCAAUUUCAUAGUCAAGACACUGCCUUUGCGAACGCGUUCCCAAGGGAAAGCGAUUAGCAUCCGAAGCUUGACAAGAAAACGAUUCCAAGAUCCAAAUUCCUUAAACUGAAACUCUCCAGUCGGAUAAUCCUCUUUAAAAUUCUUAAGGGUUCCAUCUUCAGAGUCGGAAUCGUUCUUCUCUAAUGUUUUAUCUUCCUGCUGAGUUUUAGACUCUGAGGAGGAAUCGAAGGCCCGAGCAGACAAAUUUCUGGAGAGAAAGAAAGAAGGAAAGGAAGGGAGGAGAGAGUGAUGGGUUAGGAGAUGGAGAUGACGAGUGUUGGAAUGGAGAGGAAGGGGAGAGGGAGAGAGGCAGAGAUAAGGUUUUGAGAGGACGGAAGUGAUGGUUCGGCGAUAGACUGGAGUGAAGUGAGGAGAGUGGAUGAGCAGUAGCUUCGACAUUGUCCAGACGAGAGAGAGAGAGAGAGAGAGGG